AGGCUCCCCACAUCUACUUGCCGAUGCAAGGACUGCAAGAAGACAAAAAGAAAGAGAAACCCAGAAGUCGAUUUGUGAGCAAAAAAGGUCGCAUUGAAUGCAGGCAUCUGAACUUAGCGAGGAGUAAAUGCAAGUCCACGUCUUGAUUCCAAAGAACACGGUUCAAGCCAAGUGAAAUAGAACAAGAGAGAGGGAGGGAGGAAAGCGCCCUAAUCUAAGCACACAUACGCUGGGAUUGAUGUGUCCUUGAAGCUUCUCCAUGACGAGGUGUGAAAAACUUGUUUGAUAUGUAAUUGUAUAUUCAUCUCUCUCUCUCUCUCUCUCUCUCUCUCUCUCUCUCUCUCUCUCUCUCUCUCUCUCUAGGGCUUAGGAGGAAUACAUUGUUGGAGGCUGCUAGAAAUAAAAGGGUAGCAAUAAAUGCAAAGCAGCAAUGAAGCAGAACAGGAAACCUAUGUACUCUAUUCUGGUUAAGAGACUUCUGAACCUGGUUGUGUUAGCCUUAUAUAGGACAAUGGUCUUAAAUGCAAUGGAGAACAGAAUAAGGGCUGUUUUAUU